UACGUAGGGUGCAAGCGUUAAUCGGAAUUACUGGGCGUAAAGCGUGCGCAGGCGGUUAUGCAAGACAGAUGUGAAAUCCCCGGGCUCAACCUGGGAACUGCAUUUGUGACUGCAUAGCUGGAGUGCGGCAGAGGGGGAUGGAAUUCCGCGUGUAGCAGUGAAAUGCGUAGAUAUGCGGAGGAACACCGAUGGCGAAGGCAAUCCCCUGGGCCUGCACUGACGCUCAUGCACGAAAGCGUGGGGAGCGAACAGG
rnacentral:rRNA from 1 species